GGCCCCAUAGUGAAGCGGUCUAACACACCAGCCUUUCACGCUGGCGACACGGGUUCGAAUCCCGUUGGGGUCACCA
rnacentral:tRNA from 1 species